UGACAGGCAUUUGGGAAAGGAUCAUCUCUACAUACUGUAGCAUAGAGCAGGGGUUCCCUAAUUCGGUCCCGAAUCGCGGCAAAGGGCAUAGGCUUGGACACUGGGUGGUUCGGAAGACUGGUGACCAGAGGCGAGUAAACAAGCAGUUUCCCAGGAGUGAAGGAGAUGAUAGACCAUACCACACACACACCUCUGCUGCUCAUAAACAUGGAGAGGACCUGGAGCACAGAGCCAGUGCUGCCUGCUGCACCCUGCACCUCUCUGACCAGAACCAGCAGUGCAGGAGACACAGUGUGUGUGUGUGGUAGGGAGAUGCACAAUAUGACAUAUGACAUAAAGUAGCUUUUAUUGUGUAGUAUUCAAUUCACAGUUGAAGGUUUAUUUUUAUGUUAUAAGGUUAAUGUUUGAAGUUGCACAUCAAGUUAAAUGUAGUGAAGUUGUAUACUUUACACUGAUCUUGAUCUAUCAUUUUUCAGUUUUGA